rnacentral:rRNA from 1 species
UACGUAGGGUGCAAGCGUUAAUCGGAAUUACUGGGCGUAAAGCGUGCGCAGGCGGUUAUGUAAGACAGAUGUGAAAUGCCCGGGCUUAACCUGGGAACUGCAUUUGUGACUGCAUGGCUAGAGUUUGGCAGAGGGGGGGUAGAAUUCCACGUGUAGCAGUGAAAUGCGUAGAUAUGUGGGAGGAACACCGAUGGCGAAGGCAGCCCCCUGGGUCAAGACUGACGCUCCAUGCACGAAAGGCGUGGGGAGCAAACAGG